rnacentral:rRNA from 1 species
CACGUAGGGGGCAAGCGUUGUCCGGAUUUAUUGGGCGUAAAGAGCUCGUAGGCGGCUCAGUAAGUCAGGUGUGAAACCUCCAGGCUCAACCUGGAGACGCCACCUGAUACUGCUGUGGCUAGAGUCCGGUAGGGGAGCGUGGAAUUCCUGGUGUAGCGGUGAAAUGCGCAGAUAUCAGGAGGAACACCCGUAGCGAAGGCGGCACUCUGGGCCGAUACUGACACUGAGGAGCGAAAGCGUGGGGAGCGAACAGG